UACGAAGGGGGCUAGCGUUGCUCGGAAUUACUGGGCGUAAAGCGCACGUAGGCGGCUUCUUAAGUCGGGGGUGAAAUCCUGGAGCUCAACUCCAGAACUGCCUUUGAUACUGAAGAUCUUGAGUUCGGGAGAGGUGAGUGGAACUGCGAGUGUAGAGGUGAAAUUCGUAGAUAUUCGCAAGAACACCAGUGGCGAAGGCGGCUCACUGGCCCGAUACUGACGCUGAGGCACGAAAGCGUGGGGAGCAAACAGG
rnacentral:rRNA from 1 species